GACGUGACCCCCAGGCCUCAUCAGUCCCUUCCGAUUCUUAUUUCUCUACCACUGACCCAUCCAUUCGAACUUUGUGACAAUUCACUUUUUUCAAAGUUGGUUCUUUCCUUGAUCCAAUUGUGAAAUUUCACAACUUUAUUCAGUUCUCUUUGGGUGUUUCUGCUUGGUUGCCAAGAAAAGAGGGGAAAUUUUAAAUGAAGAAAAAUUGGGUUUUCAUCAGUUUGCUGUCUUAAAGCCGAUGAAGAGAAAGAAUAAGUAGGGUGUAAUAAAGGGUGAUGUUGAGGCUUUGAAUUUGAUUAGUGAUUUGCCUCAAAGCAUAAUAGAAAGCAUUCUUA
rnacentral:misc_RNA from 1 species